rnacentral:misc_RNA from 1 species
GAAAUGCGAUAAGUAAUGUGAAUUGCAGAAUUCCGUGAAUCAUCGAAUCUUUGAACGCACAUUGCGCCCUCUGGUAUUCCGGGGGCAUGCCUGUCCGAGCGUCAUUGCGAACCCCUCAAGCACGGCUUGUGUGAUGGGCCCUCCCGCGUCUUGGUCGUCAAGACGGGCCCGAAAAGCAGUGGCGGCUUCGCGGUUAUCCGAUCAGCCAGAGCGUCUGGGGACUUUCUCUCUGUCACACGCCCGCGGCGCGGACCGACGCCUGUCGACCUUUAUUCAUCUUUUUCUCGGUUGACCUCGGAUCAGGUAGGGAUACCCGCUGAACUUAAGC